CUUGUCACGUGGGAGACGAAUGCUGUCCUGGCGGGAGACACCGUUGGGGAAGUCUCAGGGCGGCCUUAGUCGUGCGUCCCUGGGACACGGUGGGAGUUCACACUCCGGGUUUUCAGUGUGAUCUUUCCGGGCGGCUGGGAGUAGCAGAUCGGGUGCUUCUCCUUCGAGCUUUUCCAGUGGUUCUCCUUUUCACGUGGCUGAUUCAUUUCCUCAACCCCCAUCUGUAAACAUGUAUGGUCUUUCUUUCCCCCCGAGGUUGCUUUCGUUAGCACUUCCAGUGUGAUCUCCCUGGGAAAGUCUGGGCAUGUUAGGGAAGGGGUGGGGGGAGUGUGCCUGGAAGGGAGGGGAGUGGAGGGCGAAGAGGGGACUUGGGGGUUCCCUGCUUACAGAGGCAGGCUGGCAGGCUGUGGCCACAACCACCUUCAUUGCAGUCCCCUCAGCUUUUGCUCUGGUUGGUUUGUGUGACCUUUUCGAGCUUAUGUGUGGGGUCUGUUUCAUGCUGCAAGUAGCGGGGCUGCACUGGCUUCACCUGGGAGCUUCUCAACCCCUAUGACACUGGUUAGUACACUGGUCUCCUCGUGCUCCGCAGGGGGUCUGCGAAGUGGGGGUGGAAGGAAAGCUUGGGGAGCCGGUCUCUGGAGAACUUGCUAAUAGGAAGGAUGGCCACGAAGGAAACAAAAGAAAGGAUAAUCAGGACCCGGCUCUGGUCUGGGUUUUAUUGGGAAGGAGUCCCGCAGAGAAGCCGGCCAGGUCCCAGGCCUGGUCUGUUGGGGGCUGGCCCCAGGGAUGAGCAUUUUAUGUGUAAAACUUGACAAGCUCUUUAGCUGCAGGGAGGUCGGAGGCUGCCACAGCCUGAUUGUGGGAAGGGGUUUCUGCAGUGGGGAAAGGGGCGGGAAAAGCUGUCAGCCCGCAGCAUUCUGCAUCUCCUCCUGCAGGGGGCGCCACAGGCACCUUCCCCAAGAAAGCACAGCGUCUGAGAGGCCCUCAGGGCCUGGUGCUGGGCUGCAGGGUCUCUGGAAGAGGGCGGACUUUAAAACGAGGCUGAAUUCCAUGUAACACACUCCUCAAGUUAAAUGCAGCCUCUGACACCAGCCGGAAUACCUCUUACAAAACCUCGCCUGCCCAAUUGGCUUUUUAAGAUCACACUUUUUAAAAAGCUCUUCCGUGCUUGAAAGCUGCCCCGAGGAGGCAGGUGCCUCGGGAUCCCAGCCCUCCAGCCUCGGGAGGCCCCUGAGCUGCGGCCCGCUCUGGGUCUGCCCUGUCCCCAUGUCUCCUCCUCCCUCGUUGGUUCUCAGGGUGAGCCCUGCCCUGCUCUCAGUCCUGGUGAACGGUAUCCAGGAUGCCCAGUUCACUUUGAGUUUCAGAUAGACGACAUGAUUUUUAGGAGAAGUGUAGUCCACGCAGUGGUUGGCACAUAAUUAAAGGGAGAGGUUUUUGAAAUUCUGUUCAUGGGCCCAAAUCCCCAGAGGCCUGAUUCCGUGGGUGUGGGUGUGGGUGUGGCCCAGGCUUCGGAAGGUGUGAAAUUCCCCAGGUGACUGUGAUUUGCCUGGGUGGCCUGUGUGGGUUUUGGUUUUGGUUUUGGUUUUUCCUACACCCAGGUAGGGGCCAGCACUACCCAGAGCAGCGGUUGCCAACCUUUGCGGCCUCACGGACCACCAGGGAGUGGUCCACGGACCACCGGUUGGCCACGCUACCCUAGAGGGGCUUCUGCAGAGAAGCCCACUUUACGUGACACUGGCCUGUCCUUACACUCAACGCAAAGCCAGACACAUGAGUUUAAUCUACAGAAGCUAAUAGAACGGAGGCCCCGCCCUAUGGGAAGGUAUAAGAAAUAAAGUAUAAGAAAUAAAAAAAAAAAUUAACUUUGACGUGGCCAGAGUUCGACAAGACGUUUUCUUUUUAAAUGUGUUAGAUUCUCGCCGAAUAGUAAGAGGGGCAUUUCUUUAGCGGUGACUUAACUUCUGACCUAUCGAGAGCACAGAGCUCGAGAACCUUCCCAAGCCCCUGGGCCUGACAGGGUGCUUCUCAGCUCUGGCUGGGCAUUAGCACGCCGGGGAGCUUUUUAAAAUCCUGCUGACAGUCCCCUCACACACACCCCCUUUCCACGUUGGGGUUUAAUUGUCCCGGGGGUGGGGGUGGCCCAGGGGUCUAGACUUUGGAAGGGACCCCAGGUUUUGCUGAUGUGCAGCCCGGGGCUGGAGCCUGUCCUGGGAGGCUGCUGGCCGGGGCCAGGAGGAAGUGGCUGUGGGGCUUGUUAACCCAGGUGCUGGGUACCAGGGCGGUCUCCUGCUGGGCGGCUGGUGGGUUUUCCUGAGGUGAUUUGGGAUGGCAAGUAGUUAGCAGACCCCUUGAUGCCUUCAGGAACUGGCGAAUCCAGCUGUUCUCACCAGCCUGAGGGUUAGCAAUCGUGAUGGGCAGGUGUGCCUGGUGCCCGCAGUCAGUGGGUGGCAGGAGUGGGGAUGGAGGAGAAGGAGCAGGACAGAGUGGCCUCAGAAACAGUGGGUUUUUCCUCCGGUCAUUUCCCCCCGGGGCGGGGGGUAAGGGUUGCCCCAGCUCCUCCCCUGUGAAUAGCCAAACCAACCCCCGGCCCACAAUCAGGAGGCUCAGGUGCCAUUGCACCCGGGAGUCUGAUCGCUGGCCUGUCAGGAGGGCGAUGUGGGCACUUCUGUUACAACGAGGGACCGAGGCCUCCGAGGACUCCUGGGGCCUGUGCGUCGGAGAAAUGAGCCCUCUCUUUGUGCUCUGCGGGGAGGUGUGUGUUUAAUGCAUCAGCAGAUUUAAACCCGAAGGCUCACCUGAGACGUGAUUGGAAACGGGAAGUUUUUGGAUGGUCACCAGGCCAAGGUUUGUUGUCCCAUCAGAUCUGCAGCGACUCUUUCAAAGGCCCGAGGUGGGUGUUAGAGGGCCAUUCCAUACUCUCAUCUCCCAGCCUGCCUUCCUCUGUGACCAGGGCUGGGGUUCCGGCUGGGAAACAGGCCUCAGGCUAGGGGGGGUCCUGCCCUCCUGCUCUGUGUGUGCAUGAGAGGGUGGGAGCAGGGCGGGCCAGCACCUCAGCUGCCCCCCUGGACAGACAGACUACUUUCUAGAAAGUUGUUCCUAAAAGCGUAAACCCUGGUGAAGCUUGAUGCGCCAUGAUUUUGUUGCUUCUCUUUCCAUUGUGACUGUAACGGGGAGAUGCCUGCCCCAAGCCCCCCAGGAGGGGUGGCUGGGAGUGACACCCCUGCAGGAUCUGAGUGCUGUUGUCCCAGGAGCCCGAGCCUCCCCCCGGGACCCGCUGUUCCUUGCUGCCCAGGCUGCGUUUUGUCUGCAUGGUUUGGGGUCAUCAUCCUUGUGCCUUUUUCUUCCCUGUCACCCUGUGCAGGACUUCCCGCGUGGCCACUGCCCCCUUUUCUACGCCCUCCCGGCCCCCGGCCCUCCCCGAGCUGUAGAUGUGUACACAGCGCUGCGCUCCGCGUCCGCGUGCCUCCGCCCCCUCCGCCCGCAGGGACGGGGCUCCCUGCCCCCGUCACUCCGCCGCGCAGCGUGGCCACGUGUACAGAUUUCUCCAUUUUGGUCUUAAGCUUGGGGCUCGGGCCCGCUCAGUCCCUCGUCCAGCCUGCCGCUGGUGCGGAAGCCUCGCGGCAGAAAGGGCGGCUUUGUGUAACCUCCUCCCUCCGCCUCUCCCGUGUCGGCGUCAAUAUUUAUGGAAAGCAGAGCGAGCGCACCUUCCCGGCCUGGGGCUUCCGCCGGAAUGGACGUUCGGGUCUGCCAGCUCCGUGGGCCCACCGAGAUGCACCCCCUCGCCCCCGGGAAGCCGCUGCCACGGGGUGUCUCGCACGGCUGCGGACAGGCGGGCAGGAGGAGGAUGAGGCUUCUCGCCGCCCCGCCUGCCGGGAACAACUGCCAAGCUCUCCCUCAUCUGCCAACGGUGCUCAGACCCGGGUGCCAUUGGUGCCAUUAACCCCCCACUGGUGUGGGGACCGAGGUCCUCUCGCAGCCUGCUGGCUCCCUUCAUCCCAGCUCUCACCGCUCUUGGCUGGGUCUCCUGCUGGAGGGGGGAAGGAGGGGAAAGGGGUUCCACUGGAAUAAGCUGCACGUGUGGCCGCAGGUCCAAGGGUGGUGGAUGGCUUUGACUCUGUGGCUCCACCUGAGUCUUCAGCCCCAGGAGCCUCCCUCUGGAAGCCGGCUUAGCUCUCGGCCGGCCCUCGGGCCAGGGGAGACCUCCGCCUCCAGGCCCCGGGGUAGGGGGAGCGGGGAGAGGCCCCAAGGCUGUGAGCUGGGGUCCUGGGCUCGCCACCUCCAGCCUGCUUCCAGCCAAAAAGCAGCAGCCGCUCAGAGGCGGGCUCCCUCUAAAACUCGUGUACAGACUGAGGUGUAAAUAAACAGUUUGCUUUUCUUGCCUGA